rnacentral:tRNA from 1 species
GGGUCUAUAGCUCAGUUGGUUAGAGCGCACCCCUGAUAAGGGUGAGGUCGGCCGUUCAAAUCGGCCUAGACCCACCA